AUGGACCGAGCUCAGAGAAUGCAAAAGGACCAAGCCACCAUGGCUGCAAUAGGGGUUGCAGGUGCUAACCUGCCAUCCUCCAUAGCUGCGACACCAUGGUGAUGUAUCGAUUUUAUUUUGAUAGCUCAUCACAGCCUCUAACCACAAAAUACAAACACUGUUUAUUUGUUUGAACUAUUAAUAGACAUAUAUUAAAGAAGACAAUAUAGGUAUGCCCCAAAACGAAUGAUUUAGGGCUUAUCAUCAAAAACCCUAAAGGCCGUUUGUCAACACCAUCGUUGAACCAUACUUCAGAUUUAGCGUUAAGCAUCGCAAACCUGAAAGGCGCUCCAAAUCGUCAUUAUCAGAGCAUUUUCCACAACCAAAGCCAACAAUUUAACAUUUACAAUCGCACACCCCGAAGGCCCUCCAUCGACCGUUCAGCGCAACAGAGAACCCGCGAGCGUUACGGGACGCUAAACUGGGUAGGUAUAUGCAAAAUGAAAACAUCACACACCAUUUUCAUUACUGCUAUCAACAGCACAACCACCAAUAUCACAGCCGAAACAACAGCGAGAAACAACAUGACCAACACGACUAACACAAUCGUAUAAUCAAUCUUAUAGAGCAAAACAAAUAAAAACGAAAUUGCCAACACAAAUCGACUCGGAUCCGAAAAGAUCAUCAUCGUCGUUGAACCUGCUCAGUGGCGCUAUGGUUGCAACCGGAGUUGCCAUACCAGGUAGCAAGCCAUCAUCAUCGUCAGGUAGGUGAAAGGCUGAAACCUCACAAGAACCCCGGCCGCUGUCGCCUAAAACGUCGGCUAGGGUUUUACGUUGAAAAUCGCUGCCGCCAAGACGGCCUGAAUCCGCCAGUGGUGAAAGGCUGAAACCUCGCAAGAACCCCGGCCGCUGUCGCCUAAAACGUCAGCUAGGGUUUUACGUUGAAAAUCGCUGCCGCCAAGACGGCCUGAAUCCGCCAGUGGUGACACUUCGGCUUUUGCACGUCAAAGAACAACAGUUAUCAUGACAACUUCCGUCUCCUCUGACCCAUCAACAAUGGGUAAUAGA
rnacentral:lncRNA from 1 species